rnacentral:lncRNA from 1 species
AAGACGAACCUCCCACUAAGUUCACCGACUCCUUGUGAAGUUGGUGAUCCUUCUCAAAGUUCUGAAGCAACCCCAGUAACCCGUGGUAGUUUACUUUAGGCUUUGUCAUUCUAUAAUGAGUGAGGAAUGGGAGAUAAGACUUGGGCAGCGAGUUCAGUAUUGCAUCUUUUCCAAGCUGCUCAUACAAGGAAAAGCCGAGCUUGCU